UACAGAGGUCUCAAGCGUUGUUCGGAUUCAUUGGGCGUAAAGGGUGCGUAGGCGGCGCGGUAAGUCGGGUGUGAAAUCUCGGAGCUUAACUCCGAAACUGCAUUCGAUACUGCCCGUGCUUGAGGACUGGAGAGGAGACUGGAAUUUACGGUGUAGCGGUGAAAUGCGUAGAUAUCGUAAGGAAGACCAGUGGCGAAAGGCGGGGUCUCUGGACAGUUCCUGACGCUGAGGCACGAAGGUCAGGGGAGCAAACGGG
rnacentral:rRNA from 1 species